GACGAACGCUGGCGGCGUGCUUAACACAUGCAAGUCGAACGGAAAGGCCCUGCUUUUGUGGGGUGCUCGAGUGGCGAACGGGUGAGUAACACGUGAGUAACCUGCCCUUGACUUUGGGAUAACUUCAGGAAACUGGGGCUAAUACCGGAUAGGAGCUCCUGCUGCAUGGUGGGGGUUGGAAAGUUUCGGCGGUUGGGGAUGGACUCGCGGCUUAUCAGCUUGUUGGUGGGUAGUGGCUUACCAAGGCUUUGACGGGUAGCCGGCCUGAGAGGGUGACCGGCCACAUUGGGACUGAGAUACGGCCCAGACUCCUACGGGAGGCAGCAGUGGGGAAUAUUGCACAAUGGGCGGAAGCCUGAUGCAGCAACGCCGCGUGCGGGAUGACGGCCUUCGGGUUGUAAACCGCUUUCGCCUGUGACGAAGAGUGAGUGACGGUAAUGGGUAAAGAAGCACCGGCUAACUACGUG
rnacentral:rRNA from 1 species